GGAUGUGAGGGCGGUCUGGCUGCAACAUGUUACCCCACUGAUCGCCAGGGUUGAUUCAGCUGACCUGGCUGGCUAGGUGGGUGUCCCCUUCCUCCCUCACUCACUACUCCAUGUGCAACCUCCUGAAGCUGUGCACUCCGUUAAAGAGGACAACCAUCCCCGAUAGACAAGGACCAGUCUUCAGUCAAGGGCAUACAAGUAGCUGUGCUCCCCUGCUAGACCCUCCCAACAAGCUCUCAAGACUGCUGUCUGCCAAUCUGUAUCCAGAGUUGGAAAAAAGAAAGAAAAAAAAGAACUUGUCCCAGAGUGUUCCUUACCGAGUUAUAAAUUAGUUGUAAUUUGGAAAGGGAACAUUCUG
ensembl:misc_RNA 7SK 7SK RNA